UACGUAGGGUGCAAGCGUUUGUCCGGAAUUAUUGGGCGUAAAGAGCUCGUAGGCGGUUUGUCGCGUCUGCUGUGAAAAUCCAGGGCUUAACCCUGGACCUGCAGUGGGUACGGGCAGACUAGAGUGCGGUAGGGGAGAUCGGAAUUCCUGGUGUAGCGGUGAAAUGCGCAGAAUAUCAGGAGGAACACCGGUGGCGAAGGCGGUUCUCUGGGCAUGUCCUGACGUGAGGAGCGAAAGUGUGGGGAGCGAACAGG
rnacentral:rRNA from 1 species